rnacentral:tRNA from 1 species
GCCGGUUUGGCUCAGAGGAUAGAGCGUCAGACUGUGGACUGAAGGGUCCCAGGUUUGAUUCCUGGUCAGGGCA